UAGAAUGAAGUUCGUUUGGUAGAACCCCUAGCUGUUAACUAGGGUGUUGCGGGAUCGAGGCUCGCCAUUCUAG
rnacentral:tRNA from 1 species